AAUGAAACCCGGGAAGAUGCAGAUCAAGAUGUUCCCGUUGAACCAGCCUUGCAAGAGUUGAAUUUGAGCAGCCCUAAGAAGAAGAGAGUUAAGUUGGAUUCUGGAGAAGGCGACUCGUGUAAGAGAUGCAACUGCAAAAAGUCCAAGUGUUUGAAACUCUAUUGUGAAUGUUUUGCUGCUGGAGUCUAUUGCAUAGAGCCAUGUUCAUGUAUAGACUGCUUCAAUAAGCCUAUUCAUGAAGAUACUGUCUUGGCUACUCGAAAACAGAUUGAAUCUCGGAAUCCACUUGCAUUUGCUCCUAAAGUCAUUAGGAACUCUGACUCGGUUCUUGAAACCGGGGUAUG